AUUGAACGCUGGCGGCAUGCCUUACACAUGCAAGUCGAACGGUAGAGGGGCAACCCUCGAGAGUGGCGAACGGGUGAGUAAUGCAUCGGAACGUGCCCAGUAGUGGGGGAUAGCCCGGCGAAAGCCGGCUUAAUACCGCAUCCGACCUACGGGUGAAAGGGGGGGAUCGCAAGACCUCUCGCUAUUGGAGCGGCCGAUGUCAGAUUAGGGAGUUGGUGGGGUAAAGGCCGACAAAGCCGACCAUCUGUAGCUGGUCUGAGAGGAAGACCAGCCACACUGGGACUGAGACAGGGCCCAGACUCCUACGGGAGGCAGGAGUGGGGAAGUUUGGACAAUGGGCGAAAGCCUGAUCCAGCCAUGCCGCGUGCGGGAAGAAGGCCUUCGGGUUGUAAACCGCUUUUGUCAGGGAAGAAAUCUUCUGGGUUAAUACCUCGGGAGGAUGACGGUACCUGAAGAAUAAGCACCGGCUAACUACGUGCCAGCCGCCGCAGUAAUAC
rnacentral:rRNA from 1 species